GACGAACGCUGGCGGCGUGCUUAACACAUGCAAGUCGAACGAGUGGCGAACGGGUGAGUAAUACGUGGGUACACUGCCCUCAUUUGGGGCUAAGCCUUGGAAACGGGGUUAAAUCCCCAAUAAAGGGGGAUGGGCUCGAGGCCUAUCAGCUUGUUGGUGGGAUGAUGGCCUACCAAGGCGGGGUCGGGUAGCCGGCCUGAGAGGGUGACCGGCCACAGUGGGAGUGGGAUAAGGCCCAGAGUGAUGCGGGGGGUAGCGGUGCGGGAUAGUGCACAAUGGGCGAAAGCUGGAUGCCGAGCAGCUGGGUGGGGGAUGUAGGCUUGCGGGUUGUGCACCUCUUGCGCUAUCGAACGGGUAGGUGGAGAAGAAGCGCCGGCUAACUACGUGCCAGCAGCCGCGGUAAUAC
rnacentral:rRNA from 1 species